CCUACGGGUGGCAGCAGUAGGGAAUAUUGCGCAAUGGGGGAAACCCUGAAGCAGCAACGCCGCGUGGAGGAUGAAGGUUUUAGGAUUGUAAACUUCUUUUGUGAGAGAAGAUAAUGAUGGUAUCACACGAAUAAGAACCGGCUAACACCGUGCCAGCAGCCGCGGUAAUACGGAGGGUGCAAGCGUUAUUCGGCAUAAUUGGGCGUAAAGAGCGCGGAGGCGGGAGUGUAAGUCAGAUGUGAAAUCCUGUCGCUUAACUACAGGCCUGCAUUUGAAACUAUGUGUCUUGAGUGUGGGAGAGGUAGGUGGAAUUCUUGGUGUAGCGGUGAAAUCCGUAGAUAUAAAGAGGAACACUCAUUGCGAAGGCGAACUGCUGGAACGUUACUGACGCUGAGGCGCGAAAGCGUGGGGAGCAAACAGGAUUAGAUACCCUUGUAGUC
rnacentral:rRNA from 1 species